GUACUCGCUUCGGCGGUAUAUACAGUAAAAUUUGAAUGAUACAGAGGAGAUUAGUAUGUCCCCUCAGCAAGAAUCACAUGCAAAAUCGUGAUGCGUUCCACGUUUUC